ACGGCGAGUGAAGCGGCAACAGCUCAAAUUUGAAAUCUGGCGCCUUCAGCGUCCGAGUUGUACUUUGCAGAGGGUGGUCCAGACAACGGGCCGGUCCAAGUUCCUUGGAACAGGAUACCGCAGAGGGUGAGAGUCCCGUAUCCGACCGGUGCCAGCGUCGCUGUGAUCGCCCCUCGACGAGUCGAGUUGUUUGGGAAUGCAGCUCUAAGUGGGUGGUAAAUUCCAUCUAAGGCUAAAUACCGGCCAGAGACCGAUAGCGAACAAGUAGAGUGAUCGAAAGAUGAAAAGCACUUUGAAAAGAGAGUCAAACAGUACGUGAAAUUGUUGAAAGGGAAGCGUAUGCGACCAGACUUGACCGCGGUGGCACUCCGCCCGCCUUCUGGCGGGUGUACUCCGCCGCGGCCAGGCCAGCAUCGGCCCUGGCGGCGGGACAAAGGCGGCGGGAACGUGGCCCCCCUCGGGGGGUGUUAUAGCCCGCCGUGUAAUGCCGCCAGCCGGGGCCGAGGACCGCGCCUUCGGGCAAGGAUGCUGGCGUAAUGGCCCCAUACGGCCCGUCUUGAAACACGGACCAAGGAGUCUAACAUCUAUGCGAGUGUUUGGGUGACAAGCCCGGGCGCGUAAUGAAAGUGAACGGAGGUGGGAGCUUCGGCGCACCAUCGACCGAUCCUGAUGUCUUCGGAUGGAUUUGAGUACGAGCAUAGCUGUUGGGACCCGAAAGAUGGUGAACUAUGCGUGAAUAGGGUGAAGCCAGAGGAAACUCUGGUGGAGGCUCGCAGCGGUUCUGACGUGCAAAUCGAUCGUCAAAUUUGCGUAUAGGGGCGAAAG
rnacentral:rRNA from 1 species